rnacentral:rRNA from 1 species
AUUGAACGCUGGCGGCAUGCUUUACACAUGCAAGUCGAGCGGCAGCGCGGGUCUCAGGCAACUGAGCUCUGGCGGCGAGCGGCGAACGGGUGAGGAAUACAUCGGAACGUACCCCGGAGUGGGGGAUAACGCCGCGAAGGCGGCGCUAAUACCGCAUAUGCUCUGAGGAGGAAAGUGGGGGACUCGCAAGGGCCUCACGCUCUGGGAGCGGCCGANGUCCGAUUAGCUAGUUGGUGGGGUAAAGGCUUACCAAGGCGACGAUCGGUAGCUGGUCUGAGAGGAUGAUCAGCCACACUGGGACUGAGACACGGCCCAGACUCCUACGGGAGGCAGCAGUGGGGAAUUUUGGACAAUGGGGCAACCCUGAUCCAGCCAUG